CCAUAACUUGCAGAUUGGAGCGCCGCACCUCUCUCCCUCGCCAUAGGUUUCGUUGCAAAGUGUUCGUCGAGUCAGGAUCCUGAAAUUCGCGAUUCAGAUCUAAUUUCUUCGGCUUUUCGUGCCGAUUUUGAGGUAUUAAUAUAAUCUCUUAUAACAUUUUGCAAUUUUAAAUCGUUUUUCUGUGGUUCUUCACGUUUCCUGCGCUUCUUUUACUUUAAUUUGGGUGGAUUUGAUUUGCCCUGAAAUUCUAGUGGUUAUGGUUUAAUUUUCUUGUUUUCGGACUUUUCGCGUUCUUAUGUUUUCGUCUAUGUUCAUUAAGCUUUUUCUGUGGGUUUCUCUUUUUUCCGGGUCAAUUUGUUUGGAAUCGUAAAGGAUAGUUGAUCGGAGCAUUUUCUUGAUAGUAGGUUUUCGGGAAAUCUUUUUACGUUUGCAGCUUUUGUUUACUAAAGCUCUGGAUGCGUGUCGGGCCUAGGGUUUCUCUCUUUUUAAAUGUUUUCUAGAUUUUGUCAAUAGGAAAUUCAGGUAGCUGCUUCUUCAUCAAAUUGUUGCUCUUUACAUUACAAAAUAUAUUUGAGCGUCUAAUGAUAGUAUUUUUUUUCCACUAAUUAACCGUUCUAACACUGUCUCUGGCGACAUUUGAUUCCUUUUUCAGAGGUCUAUUAUCUACAAGUGGCUGAUCUAAUUAGUUUUUGCUAAGCAACCAUGCGGAGAUAUGAAGAUGUAAGGCAAUUUGGAUAUAAAGUCUAACUUCAUCAGUUUAACUCCCUCUCAUGAAAUGCUGUAUUGAAUGUUCGGGAAGCUUGGCUGAUUAAAAUGUCAUUAAGUUGAUAUUUUUUGUAUAUGUAGGAUCUAGAUGAGUAUGAGGAGUAUGAGGAGGAAGGAGAUGAACGAGAGGAUGGCUAUGAAUAUGAAGAGGAUGGAGCUGGAUAUGAAGAAGCGGAGGAGGGGGAGGAGGAAGAAGAAAAAGAAGAAAGGAAGCCAACACAGGAAGAACUGGAAUAUCUUGAAUUAAGGCAGAGGCUGAAAGACUCUAUUAGAAAGAAGAUGAAGAAGGAGAGCAGUUCUGCUCGCAUGAAUUUGCAAGAGAAAAAAAGAAAACUUCCAUAUGACAAGUGAGUGAUGGGCUUAUUUGUAGGUACAUAUGAUUGAUAUCUUGUGUGUGGCUCCUUUUAGAUGAUUUCAAUGCAGCUAUGUGUAUGGUCUUUUGUAGCUCAUGUUGUUUAGUUGUUUUUUAUGAUGUUCAUGUUUUCAAUUCAAAAAAUAACAACCUAAUCUUUUAACAUAGUUUUGAAUGUUUGUUCCAAAAAAAACAUGGUAAUGAAUAUGAAGUUGCAGUUCUAAACUAUAUUCGAAAUGUUCUCUUCUGCAGUUACGGAUCCUUCUUCGGCCCAUCUCAGCCUGUUAUCGCACAAAGGGUGAUUCAAGAAAGCAAGUCUUUCUUAGAAAACCAGCAUUUGGAGUCUAGGAUAUUGAAUUCCAAUCGGAGUGUAUGUAUCACAGCCUGUACUUUUUAGGAUGGUACAUUGGACUGCAUGUUGGAAAACCUAUAUUUGUGUCUUGAAUUGUAGAUUUGCAUCCUUGUAGAGUCUAGUGCUUUAAACAUUGAUCAACUAACUGGGCAGUUACACAUCUCAAAUUGAUAUGUCUGAGGGUUUAACUCUUUAAACUAUUCAUAACUCCUUUUAGGACUGAACUAUAUCUUAGCCAUUUGAAAUUGAGGAAAAUGUUAAGACUAAGUGCUUAGUUGUGAAACUUUCAUUUGACAUCACAGGUGAUAUUUUUUAUGAUAUUUGCUUUAACUGCUGCUUGUGAGUAUAUGCUUUUACAGUAGUAGGAUUUUGCUUCCAAUAGAGCAACUAUUUAUGCUGUGGUUUCCUGGAUUUGUUCACUAUAACUCAAGGGACUAUGGGAAGAAAGUGGCCUGUUGAAUUGAGGCUUUAGAAAGCUGUCACGUAAGAAGGUUUGGAAAUUUAAUCGAGUUAUUGAAUGGUGUUCAGUUGUCAACUAAAUAUCGAUCUUAUUUAUUUGUCCGAAAUGGGCUGCUGCAUAAGUACUUCUAGGAUUUUGCGUCAAGUAAAUUAUUAUCUUUUCUUCUUUGAUUUUUUAUCUCUAUGUUGUUUUUUUCUCAUUUCUUUUGUCAAACAUCUAUAAUGCGACCGAGAAGAAAUUGAUAAAUGUUCCAAUUUGCUUUAUGUAGUUUCUUUGUUUUCUGAUGGAGCUUAGCUUGCGUGCUCAGUUUGUUGAUUGUAUGUUGUGGUNNNNNNNNNNNNNNNNNNNNNNNNNNNNNNNNNNNNNNNNNNNNNNNNNNNNNNNNNNNNNNNNNNNNNNNNNNNNNNNNNNNNNNNNNNNNNNNNNNNNNNNNNNNNNNNNNNNNNNNNNNNNNNNNNNNNNNNNNNNNNNNNNNNNNNNNNNNNNNNNNNNNNNNNNNNNNAAAGCAGGUGCUUUUAAUGGCCAAAUGCAUCAUCCCAGGUCUGGGUCAGGUUCCUUGAAUGGGCAGACAAAUCAUGCUAGAACAGGUUCCAUGAAUGGCCAAGUGCAUUCUAGAUCCAGUUCCGUGAAUGGUCCAGUGCAUUCUAAGCCAUUGAUUUUGAAUUCAGCUUCUUCUAGUAAAUCCAGUUUGAAGCCAACAGAUUCCAGAAAGCAUGUCGGUAGCAACAAUGGAAUUGGUCCUGGCCGGCCUGUGGCAAAAACUUUGCCUCCCAAAACUCCAGUUGUCUCCUUAGAGAGAAAGGCUUCUGUGUCAGGUGCAAAGGAUCCCUUACCCAAUGGGCAGAAGCUACCCUCUUCAAAGAUGCACUCAUCUGAUCCAAGAAAACAUAUGGAACAGAGGAAGGGGGCCAACGAACCAAAUAAGCCUAAAAUAAUUUCAAAACAGUCAGCAGCACCCUCAAAACCUCAGGUAUAUCCUUAUAUCUGCAUAUAUUUCAAAUGUGGUAUCCGCUUUGCUCUUUGUGAAGAUUACUUGACAUUUGCUUGUUUCCUUGAAAUUUUACAGAUGAACAAGCCACUCAGGCAAAUUUCUUCUCAUAAUGACCACCAACCCAAAAAGAAGCCUGUAAAACGUUCUGAGGAUGAAAUAGCUCUUGACAUGAUCAGGAAGAUGUUUAAGUAAAGCUUCUUUCCUUUCAUAUUUUCAAUUAUUAAUUUAUUGUUGUAUUUUUUGGGUACAAUAUUCUUCACAAGACAUAAAUUUUUGUUUAAGUAAUCAAGGUCUGCAAGUGUUGCGAGCUUACUGCUUGUUAACUCGCAAGAGUCAAUCAAGUACCUUCAAAAGUAGUUUUUCAGAAGAAAAGUAGCUUCAAAAGUAUCACAUGGUGUAACGUAGUAGGCUGCAUAAUCUUUUGUUGUUUGUUGGUUUGGGGGGGGGGGGCUCUGCAUAUGUUUCUAUCAUUUUAUUAUCGACCGGGGGAGGGCUGUAGGGUGGACAAAAUGACCGUUGACUUCUUCUUUCUUACUUAACGAAAGACAGUCCCAUUAGUAGUCUGAAUUUCCAUAUUUAUGAUUUCUGAUAAUUUCGGUCUACUGAUUGNNNNNNNNNNNNNNNNNNNNNNNNNNNNNNNNNNNNNNNNNNNNNNNNNNNNNNNNNNNNNNNAGAAGGUUAGCAUUUAUUAAAUGUUACACGAUAGUUAUCUUUGAAGUGUUUCCUCUUCUGUUCUCUGAGCGCUUGUCUUGGACUGGGAUUUGAAGUUUUCUGAAAACAACCAUAGGUUUAUUGUUUUGCCGUUUGCUUUUACUUGUUUGGGUAUCCUAGUAUGAUUUCUUUGUUUUAAAGCCCUUUCUACGUUGUGAUACAGUUCAAAAAUUGCGAAAAAAGAAGAUGAGGAACAACUACGGCUGAUAGAGGAAGAAGAGCGGCAAGAGCGAAUGAGAAAGUUGGCGAAGAAGCGCAAGCUGAGCCAUCACUAAUUGUUCAGGCUUUUUAUCUUUCUCGGUCUCGGAAGGCUUGUUAAAAACCUUGGUUCCGAUUGAUCUCUUACUCUCCUUAGGAGUCUUUUGUGCUCUCAGUGGGAUAUUAAUUAUUCAUGGGUCAUAGGAAGAUAUUGUCAAAAUUUAGAUGUGUAAUCUUUUUCUUUUUGGGUAUAGUAGUUGUAGCUUAGUUGCUGCCAUUUGUGCUCUUCUGGGUUUUUUUUUGUUUUUUUUUUUUGUUUUUGUUUUUUUAACAGGCUACAAAUUCAAUCUCAUCCAAUAAAUGUUGAGUUAACGGUGUGUCAAAAAAUGGUAGUUCCAUACAAAAUGAAAUAGAUAUCAAUUUAGCUGAUUUAUGUUGUUACUUACAUUACUGCACCAAUUAAAUAAUGUGUAACAUUAUUCAAUUCAGUGCACAAAAUUUAUUUGAUUAACACUUUACCUUUUAUCGUAUGCAAUUUUAUUUUUAAAGAAUCUGAAUAUUAGAAGAUAGAAAAAAAGGAUUUAGGAAAAAGACAACUAAAAAGGAGAGCACAAUGGUGUUAUUGUAAUAUGAAAAUGAAAGGCAUGGACGAAAGUGGGACACCAGGAGGCGCAUACUUGGUCGGCGUGUAUUGGUAUGUUGAAGAACUCAAGAUAAACGGUUGUCAUAAAGAAGCAAUCUAGUUUUUUCCCAUCAAAGAUUCGUCUUCUCCGUAUCCGCAAGGUUGUGAAGAAGAUGGUAACGCUGACUCUGAUGAACGCCGCGAUCCUUUGGCCUCCUGGUCCCCUAAAACCCCAAACACUAGUUCAGAAACCUGUUAAGCCUCGUUCGCUUUGUUACUUGAGGUAUAUUCAAUGGAUUGACCCUCGGUUAUAUUCUACAUUUGCUUUGACCUUCACUUAAUCGGGUAUUUGAUUAGCCAUUAUAAGCUUCCAGUUCUCUUUCUUUGGUUAAAUUGUUUCUGGUGCUAACUUGCUGCUUAUGCUCGUCACACUAGAUUACCUCCUCUUUUUUUUUUUUUGUUGUUUAUUUUCUGCUACGACGCCGUUUGCUGAUCUGAGUUGAAAGGAAGUGAAAUUUCUAAGAUUUCAUGAAGUUUAUUUUCUGCGCAGUUUCAGAGAUUUUAGCUUGUUAAAUCCCAACUAAACUCUCAUUUCUCGCUUUCCAAUUUUAUGAAAUGCUUGUUUAUAUGUAUGUGCCUCAAGGUGAAGUUGACGCAGGGGUGUCCUACUCGUAACUAUUUUGUGUCUCUUAAACAUCAAAGAAUGGCUUGUGCAGUAAAUUAGAACUUCAGAUUUGAGUGUUAGAUUUCAGCCAGAAGUAGUUGGUUUGCUUGAUCGGUGUGUCUCUCAUAAUGAUAAACAAUUCAAUGGAAACCGGAGAAACUCUAACUUCAUUACUGGUUAGGUUCUUCUCUCAACAAUUCGUCAUGACGUUUUUGAUAUCAUAAAGCUUGAAUUUAGUCUACCACUUAUUAUCUAAUUUAAGAUGGCUCAGCCCUUCUCUUGAAGGAAAAUUAUUUCACCUUACAGUAUCAAUCAUGAGGGAUGCAGAAACUUGGUAAAUCUUUUGUCAAUCUUUCUUUGCAGGACAAAUGAGAAGAUAGCUGGUUUAUUUAGAGCAACUGCAGAGGAAGGGUACUUUUUUUGGUUCCUGAAUAUGAAUUUAAGUUUUUCUUUUGUUCACAUGUACAAAGUUCCUGUAAGCAUGGGCAUAUGAAUAUGUUCAAAUUCCAGGUUAGAGGAGCAUGAAAAUGCGGAUCCGUCUCAGGUAAUCUGUCAUUAUAUACCUUUUCUUUGACUAGGCUAUGUUUUUAAUGGGGGAAAUAUGUUUUUAUUUACAGGAGAAUUUUCAGCCACCAAAUACUGAAUCAGAAGCAAAACAAAAUGAUAUAUGGCAACUCUUUACUGAAGCUCAAAAAAGUUAAUUACAUUUCUAAUAUGUUUAUCUUCGAACCAUUUUACAUCCUUCCUAUUACACAUAAUCACUGGUUUAGUUCAUGUGAUAUGCAUUAGGGAUGUAUUAUUCAUUGUUGAUGGCUUUCAGACAUUCUUUACUUGAACAAACAACGGCUUAUGGCUAUUGAGGAGCUGAGCAAAUCAAACAAGGAGAAACAAUUGUUGCUGGAUAGGAUAGAUCAACUAGAGGCAGAAAAGAAGAAAGAAGCCAGAAAAGGUUGUAUUUCCUGGAAACUUUGUUGGCUGAAGUAAAGAAUUGCGAUAAGUUGCAACUUAGUAGUUCUUCCAUUCUUUAUGACAUGUGAAAGCUUAUGGGAUUUGACAAUAUCUUCUCGGCACACUUUAGUUAAUAAUUUUUAGAAAAAAUGUUUUGAGCCCAUUUUCCUUGGAUUUUGUUUUUCCCUUAAACGUUAAUUUUCUUAAGAAAAGGAAGAUUUUGUUUGAAACAAUUGACAAUCAAAGUUCAAGAUUAUAUCUUUCUGUCUACAUUGACCAGAUAAGCUUACAAUGUUCUGGGAGUUGCUUCUUCGUAUAGACUCAAUGGUCCUCACUGGCUUGAUUAACAAGGAAGAGGCUUAUGAUUUGAGAAGACAGGCUUUAGAACAAAAAGAUGGCAUAGCUGAUGUUUUCCCUGACAUGCUAAUGAAAAGAGAUGCUCAGAUUCUAUCAGAACUCCGUCAGUACUUCUCAGAUAGAAGCAAAAGGUAACAUCACUGAGCAGAACUUGCUAUUAGUUUCCUGUUUUUGGCAGGUCAUUUUAACGGGACACUUCCUGGGAUAUGAAGAGGAAUGGGAUCCAACCCACUUAAGCUCCAUCAAGGAGUAUAGGGCAAUUGGUUUGCAAGCUCCAGCAGAAGUUGCUAGCAAUUAACUGUAAUUAAGGUCUUAAGGACUUGUUAUUAAUUGUAUUGAACUAUAAUUAAGGUCGUAAAGAAAUAUGGUAUUGAUGGUGACACAUAAAACUGGCACACACAGAAGGAAUAGUACGAACACAUAGGAGGAAAUUGCAUACAUAGAGAUAGAGUUAGAAAUAAAAUGUGAAUGUCACCUUAUUUAUUUAUUUACUUACUCAUUUGCAUCUGUUUACUUUUUAACUGGUAGAAAAAUGUACUGAUUCUAGUUUUAUAUAUUUUGAAUUUCUAAAACUGGCAUGCAUCAUUUAUAUGUUCUCUUAUUUGUCUGUUUAAGUAUACAGUAUGGCUUUUCAUAUCUGCAUGUGUUAAAAUUCACCUUUUUCCAUGGAAGGAAGUUUUUUAAACUGAAAAUGAUUUAUGGCUGCAUGGCCUAUUUGGUAGAAUAAUUUCUGAACCCUAGUGAAUUUUUGGAUGUGUGAACUAUGGCAGUGAUGUGCACUUCCAUGAUGAGACUAACAGGUAUUGGUCUUGAUGGAUAAGAAUUGGACUGUCUGGAAAUAAUCCCGAUAUACUUGAAUAUGAUUAGUACAAACCCGCAUUUCAUAACCAGAAUUAUGCUGCAAUUUUCUAAGGGAACUUCCAUAGGCACCAUGUUAUCUCAAUCAUUUACAGUAUCUUGCUUUUAUCUUUAUCUUUACUUUUUUUUUGGACUCUGUUUGUUCAAGCAACAAGUUAUUUCUCAUUUUAUCUCAGGAAUGCAUUUCACAUUGUCCAUGUUUGCGCGGAAAUGGCACCAUUGGUCAGUGUUGGAUCCUUGGGAUUGUAUGUAGCAGGGUUAUCUCGUGCACUGCAAAGAAAAGGACACCUUGUGGAGGUUAUUUUGCCGAAGUAAUGAAUAAAACCCAUCUUUUAUUUUUAAGACUUUGCCGAUUCUUCAUUUAUGAACUGUGUUUCCAUAACACAAAUUUCUUUUUACCCAUUAAAAAAUUGAAAGAAAAUGAAAUUGCUUAAAAUUUGUAGUACUAUAUUCUGGUUUUGGACUUGGUCCUGCCCUGACUUUUCUUAUUUAGUCCAUGAAAUAUCUUCAGAAUUUUGGUCACAGUAUUCUUCAUUUGUUGUUAAUUUGUGAUGGCAAUGUUCAUAUGUUGUUUUUACUAUGUAAUUUCUUGUUGUUGAUCCCGGAUUUGUAGCAAAUGCCCUUCAAAUGCUUAGGAAAUCAUGCCAAUAUUAGGAAUUCUUAUGUGCAAUUUAUGGAGAAAGAAGUAUGAAUUUUAUUGAAUAAUAAGACCCCGUAUAUAUGGAUUUUAUAAAUAAUAAAAAGAAACACUGUUAAUUACAUGAGAUGGGUAUAUUACUAACAUACAAUUUGUCAUAGUUACUAUAUAAAUGUAUUUCCUAAUACUACCCUUCAAACUGGUGAAUAGAUAUUAUUCAUUUCAAAUUUGCCAAUAGUAGUCUGAAAUUCAGGAUUACUCAACUCCUUGGUCAAUACAUCCACAAGUUGAAAAGUGGUAGACAUGUAUGGUUUGCAUGUCAAUCUGCUAUUCAGAUUUUCCUUGAUAAAAUGUUGAUCAAAUUCAAUGUACUUCAUCCUGUCAUAUAGUACAAGACUGUGACUGAUGUUAAUUGUUGACUUAUUAUUACAACAGAGGAUAAUAGGUCAAUCACACUGAAUCUUCAAGUCUUUCAAACUUAUCUUUAACCAUCGGAGCUCACACACUUCUUGGUUUAUAGCCUUAAACUCUAACUCGUUACUGGAUUGAGAUUUAUGCUAAAUCUUGUGAGAUUAUAACUUGGUUUGAGAAAACAUGUUAUGCACAAGUUAAUUGUAAAACAUUCUUUGUAAUCUAAUAGGAGAACUACUUUAUGCUCAAAGGUAGUUUUUACCAAAAUUGUUUUAUUGAGCAUAUGGUCUCUGAUUAACAUGAGAUAUUCCAUUCUCCUAAUAGGUAUACAAGCCUCGAGCUAGAAGAAAUUCAAGGGCUGCACAAAAUUGAUGCAGAGGCUUAUUCAUAUUUUAAUGGUCAAUUGCAUGGGAACAGAAUCUGGACUGGGUGAGUACUGGUUGCAUAUUUAUGCUGCAAUUAUCUGUUAGUUUGGAUUUUCUUUUAGUACUUGGGAAGAAUUUGAUUCAGAACCACAAUUUGCAGUGUGGUUCUUUUAUUAUGCUUAUAGCUUUGUUUUUACAUCGUACGCUUGUUAUUCAGUGUUGUCUAUGGAAUCGGAGUUACUUUGAUUCAGCCAUUAUACUACUCAUUAUUUUUCAGUCGUGAGAAGAUAUAUGGCUACUCAGAUGACUUUGAACGGUUAGUAUGAUGAUCUUUGUGACUUGCUCCUUGUCUAGCUCAGAUUUUACUUUCAGUUCCUUUGCCCAUGUGGUAGAUAAAGAGAUCUACUGCCCUUUGGCUUAGGGUAAUGAGAAACUUAGACCAAUCAAAAAUAGACAUGCUUUUUAUGCAAUAGGAUUCUUUUUGUGGUUAAGAAAAAUUAAUUUUUCAUUAUGAAAAGGUUAGUAUUCAUCCAUGAAAGUUCAUCUGUCGCUUUUCUACCAUAAAGAAGGGCUUGGGCUUGAAAAGCUGGUGAUUUUAUGAUUCUGCCAUUUUUCAUUAAUCUUUUUUAGUGCUUAUGAUGAAGACUUGUAUAUGACAUUCUUUUUGCUUCAAGACAUUUUUUUAUUCCUAUUCAAUAGGCUAUUGAUCCCAAAUUGGCACAUCACAUUUACAUGCAUAUUUAAGAGACUAUAAACGUCUCAUUGCAAAUUGAGCAGGAAAAAAGAGAAGGAAAAGGAGCAUUUUAUGUUUUGCUUUCGAGAUCCAAAUUCACCCAUGAUGGAUGUGUUUUUGGGUUAAGNNNNNNNNNNNNNNNNNNNNNNNNNNNNNNNNNNNNNNNNNNNNNNNNNNNNNNNNNNNNNNNNNNNNNNNNNNNNNNNNNNNNNNNNNNNNNNNNNNNNNNNNNNNNNNNNNNNNNNNNNNNNNNNNNNNNNNNNNNNNNNNNNNNNNNNNNNNNNNNNNNNNNNNNNNNNNNNNNNNNNNNNNNNNNNNNNNNNNNNNNNNNNNNNNNNNNNNNNNNNNNNNNNNNNNNNNNNNNNNNNNNNNNNNNNNNNNNNNNNNNNNNNNNNNNNNNNNNNNNNNNNNNNNNNNNNNNNNNNNNNNNNNNNNNNNNNNNNNNNNNNNNNNNNNNNNNNNNNNNNNNNNNNNNNNNNNNNNNNNNNNNNNNNNNNNNNNNNNNNNNNNNNNNNNNNNNNNNNNNNNNNNNNNNNNNNNNNNNNNNNNNNNNNNNNNNNNNNNGACUUCUUUGUCCAUAUCGUUUGCAUUAUAAAGCAAAGUUACUUCUUGUCAAUAUUUUGAAGGUGAUUUCUUCUGUUUGUUUAUAACUGUCUCUUUUAUGCAGUUUUUUUCAUCUCAACAAAAUGUUCAGGACGUUUUCAUAAAAAAAAAAGUUAGUUCAUUUGCAUAUUUGCUUAUUGCUGCUAUUGGUCAUAUCUUUUCUGGCCACUUCUGAUGACUUGGAUGGAGUGAACGGCAGUGCAGUCCUCAACUUUAUCCCUAUAUAUAUUUAUAUGAAUCAUCUAACCUAAAACUCUGAACCUGAGUUGUGCUUCUUUGAUGCUCUGCCUGAUGAGGAUAAGCUGUCAUCAAUUAAAUACGGAAAGGAAGUAUAGGUGGAUUUAAGAACUGUUUUCAUCCCGUGCUUGACCUGUAAUCAAUAAUAGUUUGCAGCUUUUGAUUGGGAGAAGCAGUAAAAUGUAUUGUUAUUUAUACUAACAAGAUGCAGUCCUAAGAUAUAUAUAUAUAUAUUUUUUUGAGAUAAAAAUGAGUAGUAAUAGUAAAAAGAGCGAUGAGGUUCGCUGGGCGUACCCAUGUACAAUAAAAAGUAUUUACAGAUCAGUAAUUAUAUCUACAAUGUGACCAACAUCAUCAAAAGAGUUAAGGUUGCGAUCAAGAUCAUCCUAAGAUAUUUACAGAGCAGUCCUAAGAUAUUUUUAUGAGAAUAAUUAGAUAUCUGGGAAAAUAAUUAGAUUGGCAUUCUUUUCUUCAGGUUUGGUGCAGCUAUAUGAUUUAAGUUGGUGGAGUUCCAAGAAUUUUGGUUUUUCGUCGGUAAUAAAUAUGACAUACAAACCCCUUUCUAUGUCUUUGCUCAAUCACUUCAAAUUUUCGUGCCUUUUUUAUCCAAAUCUGACUUAUUCAAUGCUAGAAUUUAUCAGCUUCUUAUAGUUUUCAAGCACUGCUUUAAUAUUUUAAUUUCUACAAAUUUUUAGGGCGGGAUUAUUUACUCCAACAAGGUUGUGAUGUUGACAUCCAUGCAUUCUAAAGGAAUGAUAAUUCGUAGUUUUGCGCAUGGACUAGAGUCCACCUUAGCCAUUCACAAGUAAAACUACUAAAAUCUUCUAUAUUUUCUUUAGUCCUUCUCCUCUUCUCCUGUCGAUAGGAAUAAAUUAGAAUGACAGGUUGAUUUGGUUGAUUGAUUACCUUCUUUUUGCUCUUCCAAAAUUUGACUGCAGACAAAAGUUAGUUAUUGCUCCCUUUGGAUUUGACAACUCAACAUGGGAUCCUUCCAAAGAUAAAUUUCUUCCAGAAAAUUAUAGCGCAGAAGACAUGAAAGGGAAAUCUGUAUGCAAAGUUGCAUUACAAAAGUGGCUGGGAUUAGCUCAGAAUGCUUCUACUAUUAUUGUAUGCGUUUCUCAUAAAAUCUUUUUGAACUCAUUUUUGUGCAUGCCAAGUGAUCUACAUGAGUGGAAUAUUCCGAAGCAUUCAAUUGUGAAAAUAUUUUAACUGAGCCAAAGUAAUCUUAUUGGGUGCAAACAGAACUAAACUGACUAAUUCAGUUGAGUUUAAACACCAAAAAAAAACAUCCUUGGUUUGAUCCCUAUUAAAUUGUUAGCCUUAUGGCUGGUUGUUUUGUUAAAUAUAACAGGCUAAAGCUAGCACAGAUGCUUUAAUGUUCACAUAACUGGUUUUACUUUUAACUGAUAAAUAUGUAUUGGCAGUUUCUAUUUCCCUUCUAGUCAUGCUAGAUCUGCUAAGGCAGACGACCAGACAAAUAAAUUAUCAACUUGAACUUGGCUCGAUCCGACAGAUCAUCAAAUCACCUGGUCGACUUUGCAUGCUGCAUAUAUUUUUCUUCUGAAAAGAGAAGGCUGACAAAAUGCAUGAAGAUAAUAUUAUUAUGUUUGAUUUUCAAAAAAUUAUUUGAUAGCCUGAACUUUUUAUGUGGAAUUGAAAUGGUACUUUUUAAGGUUGGAUUCAUCUUCUCAGAAGUAUCAGAUGUUGAUCUGGAGAACUUGAAGGCAAUUGUUCGGGAUACCACUGGAAGGAGUGUCCAGGUUUAUACUUUUCUAUAAGCACAUGGCAUGGAGACUAGAUUUACUGGAAAAUCCUGCUGAUUGAUACAAUAAAGGAGCUCAUAGAGUAACAAGAAGAAUAACAUUUAAUUAUUCUUGUUGUAUCAGUCAGUAAAUUCCGUGUGUAAAAUUUUGGUUUUCUUUGUUCUUUUCUCUAACUGAGUUUCUCCAAAAACAAAAUUCUAUAGUUCAUCUUCAUGGGUAUCAGCAAAAUGCCAGACGUAACCAAGCCAUUGGAUUCUGUCCAGGAGGACUUCAAGGUAUUAGGGCACAUGAAUUUUACUUAUUAUUCAUGCAUCAAAGAAAUUCUCAUCAAUUUGGAACCUCAAUCUUUGUCAGGUUAUGGAUUAAUUGAGAUUAUCGGAGAUUGUUUGUUUCCUGAAGCUUUUUGCAGUUAUAUCUAUUUUAUUUUUACUUUUUGCCUCUUCCUUCCUCUUCUAUUUGUUCUGAGUCUAACUUGUUUUGCUCCUACAGGAUGGAAAUAUAUUCAUAUUUAACUAUGAUGAAGCUCUAUCACAUUGAUUUUGGCAGGAUCUGAUAUUCUCUUGUGCAGAUCCUUUCAUGAUCCUAUCUUCCAAGCUCCGGUAUGUAAAACAUGAUAUAUAGAGAAUUAAAAUUCAUUGGCUUGCAUACGAGUCACUAUUGGCACUCUUUUCUUGGUUUCUCGAACAAUGGUAUUGCAUACCCAUCACUUCCAGCUCCAUGCAUUGUUGUUGAAUGAUUACAUGCAAAUAUACGUUGGCUACACAGACAUGUGUCGUUAUUUGUUAGAGCAAGGGUUCUAAUCCUUGUCAUAAGAUUCUAAUUCUUUUCUGUUUCUAUAACCACUGUUCCCAAUCUCUCUGUCCACGUCUUCAACUUACAUCAGAUAAUUUCUUGACCCAUGCUGUUAUUAGGUUUCUUUGGAUCUAAUCUAAUUAUCCUAGACCAUUAUGUUGCAGAAUUAUUUGAUGGCUUACAAAUCUCUUUCCCGGUACUCCACCAAUCAUAUUUUAACUGUAUACUCUCAGUUGGUAAAAAGAUAUGUCAUUCCCCUAUCUGAAAAUUCUGUGUACUGGAAAAUGCAGCUCAAGGCUUUAAAAUGCGGAGCUGCUCCAGUGGUAGCUGUUAUUUGGUUUCUUUGCACCUAGUCUAAUUAUUCUAGAAUGUUAUGUUGCAGAAUUAUUUGAUGGCUUACAACUCUUCCCCACCCCCUUCCCCCCACCAACUCCGCCAGUCAUAUUUUAAUGGGAUACUACCAGUUGGUAGAUAUAUCAUUCCCUUAUCUGAAAAUUCUGUGUACUGGAAAAUGCAGCUCAAGGCUUUGAAAUACGGAGCUGUUCCAGUGGUAGUUGCUCAAAGUGAUGAAAUUUUCAGGUAACCAUGUAUGGCAGAAAUUUCCAACUGGAUACUCUAUUUGUAUAUGUAUAUUGUUUUCAUUCUGAAAGAGAAUGAUUGUACCAAAUCUUAACAGGCAUUUCGUAGACCAUGACCAAGAGACUACCAGAUUCCCACAGUUUAUGUGCAGUGCCUUCGGAAAUUUGUCCCUAAGCCAGGCCAUAGAUCAAAUAGUAAGUAUUUAAAACAUCGUGGUUCAUGAAUCUUCCUCUUUCAUUCCUCAACUUGAUGGCCAGAGUUAAAUAAUAUAAUCUGGAAGUAUUUUUAUUUGGUAAUAGAAAAUGAAAUUGUUAAAUCAUAUCCAUUAUGUAGGAGAACAACCCGUCUACAUGGACGCGGAAGGUAACAGAUGCUAUGGCAAAAGAUUUCUCAUGGGAUGCAGAAUGCUCUGAUAUUCAUGUUUCUGCAUAUACAUUCAUUAAAGGUCUGUGAGCUAUAUGUCAUCUACAUGUACAUAUGUUUGUACAAAUACAAAUUUUUCUUGUUAGCAUUUUUGCCGAUGUGCAAAUCAAUGCAUAUGACGAUGCCCAUGUAUGAGGGCUGACGGAGUGUUGCAAGUAUAGGAAGCUCAUUCAGCCUGCAUUCUCUCAACUGGGGAGGAAUAGAGUUGAUGAGUAAGGGGAUCAAAAUUAGAUGGUCCUUGCUAAAGCUUUUAACCUUAAGCUAAAAGUCUGGGAUGUGCUUAAAAUUAACUGGAGGCUAUAAACUACUGACAUGUAAAUUAUUUGUAUAAUGACCCUAAUUCUUCCACUUUCUAUUCUUUAAUAAGAUGUCUGUCCUUCAUUUCUACAGUUUAUAAUAAUAAGAGUAAUUAUUACUAUUGCUAUUAUUUGGUAAAUGACAGUUCAUGAUAUUAUUGUAUAUAUAAUUUUGUAUGCAAAUAAUAAUUGCAAAUUAACUGAAAAUAAUUAAAUUAAAUGAUAGUAGAUGGUAGAUAGGGAAGCAAACUCUUGUUCCACCACAAAAGGAACUGUUUUCUAUGGCCUGUUUGAGAGUAAACUGAAGUGAUCUCCCUCGGAGCUGAACCCGACGACACCCCCUCCCACUGCGAUGCUUGCAAGCGAGAUGUCACUGGCUUGCUCUACCACUGAAACUCCUGUGCCUUCGAUCUCCAUCCCUGUUGCGCCAAGCUCCCAAUGGUGCUCGACGACGGCGACUUCAACCUGUACUUGUUUAGAAAAGUGAGCUCCGUGUGUCGCUAGUGCAGCUGCAAAGGGAGAUGUUGUUUGGACAUCUGGCAUGAUUUGUAUUUUGGGAGAUAUAAGGGGAAGGGGGAAACAAAAAAGGCAGAGGAGGAGGUGGUGCCUGUCUUCUUCAGUGAAGAAGAAGAAGAAGAAGAAGAAGAAGAAGAAGAAGAAUUAAAAUUA
rnacentral:lncRNA from 1 species